rnacentral:rRNA from 1 species
CAGCAGCCGCGGUAAUACGUAGGGGGCGAGUGUUGUCCGGAUUUAUUGGGCGUAAAGGGCGUGUAGGCUGUCUUUUAAGUCAGAAGUGAAAACCCAGAGCUCAACUCUGGGACUGCUUCUGAAACUGGAAGACUUGAGUGCUCUAGAGGGCAGUGGAAUUGCCGGUGUAGCAGUGAAAUGCGUAGAGAUCGGCAGGAACACCAGUGGCGAAGGCGACUGCCUGGGGAGUAACUGACGCUGAGGCGCGAAAGCUGGGGGAGCA